GAAAGAUGCUUAUGGGGAUGGACGACAUGUUAGCAUUGAUGUUGUUUCUUCAGCCUUUGAGGGACAGACGGCUGUGAAUAGGCAGAGGAUGGUAUACAAAGCUAUUUGGGAAGAGCUACAAAGCACAGUGCAUGCAGUGGAUCAAAUGACCACCAAAACACCUGCUGAAGCAGCAGCUCAGAAUUCAUAAGUCUCAAAGUUUAUCCAACCCUUCUUAUCUUUGC
rnacentral:misc_RNA from 1 species